rnacentral:lncRNA from 1 species
AUGUAUGUUCAAACUAGCACUCAUAAACGGCAGAACUCACCGACACACUCACACGUGGCACUUCCCGCACACAGACCCUACGGCUUUGGCAGAGGCUGUAGCCCCGGGGCACGACCGGCGGUACCCGAGAGCGGGGCGGCGAUGCCGGGGCUGCCCCUCCCGGGAGCGCUGCGGUGCUCGGGCGGCUCUGAGUCCGCGGGAGACGAUGGGGGGCUUCUGCUCCCCAGUUCCGCUCCUGCUCUCCAGCUCCUGCACCCGGGUGGAGGCUGCGGCACGACCGCGCUCCUCUCGCCCCCUCGUUUCUCCCCGAGACCUCGACCCGCGCCACCUCCCCGCGUCCUCAGGCUCCCGGCUCCAUCCGUCCGCUGCCCCCGGCCCCUCGCGCUCCGCAGCUCCUCUGCCACCGUUCGGUGCCCCCCGCCCGGCUCCGCGGCGGCUCCCGCUGCGCUUUGGGGCUCGGCGACGGCCCCGCCGCUCGCAGGGAUCGAUGCCAGGGAGCCGGGCACACGGCGCAGCAGUCGGGGCCGCAGCCGCGGGUCGACGGCUGGGUGUGCGGGACAGCCGGGCGCGGGGCCGCCUCCGCGGGUACGGCCGCUCGCUCGGCAGGCUCCGCAGGGCGCUGCCGCCCGCCGCCCCCCGCUGGCAGCGCCGCGCUCCGCUCCACGGCCCCGCGUGUGUCAAGGGGCCGGUCCCCCCCGGCAGCUCCGACCCAAGGGCGGCCCCUCGGCCCCCGCGAUCGGCCCGGGGGCGGCGGCGGAGCCGGGGGCUGCCCCCUGCCGAGGCGGCAGAGCGACCGUGCCGCCGCUUUCGGGGGAUUCUCCGAGAGGAGAAGGCAGGGCGGCGCCGGGAGGGGGAACCCCCCUCGGCUCGACUCGGCUAUUCGCAUCCCCGGCGUCGCUCCUCCUCCUGGCGCUGAUGUCAGCCGCGGGGAGGGCCGGCUGGCAGCGGCAGAGCGGGGCGCGGGCGGCCGCGGCAGUGCCGAGCCGGAGCCGCCGCCGUCGCCGCCGCCGGGACAGCGCGGGCUCCGGGGCGACGCCGGCAGCGCAGCUCCGCGCCCCCAGGGGCGCCGCAGCGGCCGCGCCGGGCCCGCAGCCCGCCCCGCCGGGAGGAGGCGAAGCGCCCAGUGGCGGUGGCUGCCCUGCGGCGGAACCCGACUCCGAGCUCCCCCAGCCCACGGCCGGGCGCUGCCGGCUGCGCUGCCCAGCGGCACGGAGUUCAAAGUCUCCCCGCGCAACUUAG